rnacentral:rRNA from 1 species
AUGGAAAAAUGUGGGAUCCAUCAAUACCGUAUUAUGGAUAUUUUGUGCUUUCAAUACGGUGGAUUUGAUAAGGUUGGAUGCAUAAAGAGGGACGUUUACAAUUUCUGCCAUGCUAAUAAGUAG